UUGCCUUGACUAAGAAUUCAACAUAAUGU
rnacentral:piRNA from 1 species